AACGCACAUUGCGCCCCUUGGCAUUCCGAGGGGCAUGCCUGUUCGAGCGUCAUUUCACCAAUCAAGCCCCGCUUGGUAUUGGGCGAUCAGGCCCGCGCCCACCCGGCGCGGGCCCGCCCCGAAGACAUCGGCGAGGACGUGGACCCCCGGCGUGUUAGAACUCCCUCACGGGAUACGCCAGGUGCACCCUCGGACUCCGCCGCGAAACGACGGGGCUCCCCCCGGGGACCCCCCGAAACCCACACAAGGUUGACCUCGGAUCAGGUAGGAAUACCCGCUGAACUUAA
rnacentral:misc_RNA from 1 species